rnacentral:rRNA from 1 species
UUGAACGCUAGCGGGAUGCUUUACACCUGCAAGUCGAACGGCAGCGCGGACUUCGGUCUGGCGGCGAGUGGCGAACGGGUGAGUAAUGUAUCGGAACGUGCCCAGUAGCGGGGGAUAACUACGCGAAAGCGUAGCUAAUACCGCAUACGCCCUACGGGGGAAAGCAGGGGAUCGUAAGACCUUGCACUAUUGGAGCGGCCGAUAUCGGAUUAGCUAGUUGGUGAGGUAACGGCUCACCAAGGCGACGAUCCGUAGCUGGUUUGAGAGGACGACCAGCCACACUGGGACUGAGACACGGCCCAGACUCCUACGGGAGGCAGCAGUGGGGAAUUUUGGACAAUGGGGGCAACCCUGAUCCAGCCAUCCCGCGUGUGCGAUGAAGGCCUUCGGGUUGUAAAGCACUUUUGGCAGGAAAGAAACGUCGCGGGCUAAUACCCCGUGGAACUGACGGUACCUGCAGAAUAAGCACCGGCUAACUACGUG